rnacentral:rRNA from 1 species
UGGGGAAUUUUGGACAAUGGGCGCAAGCCUGAUCCAGCCAUGCCGCGUGCAGGAUGAAGGCCUUGGGUUGUAACUGCUUUUGUACGGAACGAAAAGACUCCUUCUAAUAAAGGGGGUCCAUGACGGUACCGUAAGAAUAAGCACCGGCUAACUACGUG